CAGUCAGAGCAUUUAUUUGUUAGGAGGGUGGAUUAACAAAGGCGUGGGCAGAACCCAGGAAAGAGAAAGGGGCCAUAAAGCAGAAAAGUGAUGGAGCCAGGCGCACACGGGAUACCGUGUCCCCAAAUAGUUCGGCGUCAAAUAACAAAAAUAGCUAUAACUUCAUUCCCUUAAUGUGCCCAUUAGUCUAAGUAAGACCUUUCUUUGGUUCGUGCCUGAACCUGGCUGUUUCUCUGCAACCUGCAAUUUAAUCUUCUGCGAAUGUAAUACCCUAAACGUAAUCAUCUGUGAAAUUAAAACAUAAUCAGCUCUCCGUUAUUAGGGGAAGUGGGGAGCUGCAAAAUUGAAAGAAGGAAAACCUGGCUGAUGGAAGUGGGUCUGGGCCCAAGAUGGCCCUGGAAGAAUCCCAGUCCUUUCCAGAAGCGAUGUGCUCUGUGCUCUGGCAGGAGAGUCCCCUCAGUCAGGCUGGGAGGUGCAGAACCGGUGUAGGCACCGCUACAUGCAUAGCAUGGCUUAUUCACAACGUGGGUAACAAACCCAGGAAUAAUGAAUAAAUUCUGCUUUGUUUCUUUGUUUGCUUUGCUGUAACUGAAACAAAAUAGGUGUUUAAAUUAAUGUUAAUAAAACAUUUUGAAGCGAGAGUGUUACGAAGGUGCUGCAAGCAGCAAUAAAACCACCACGAAAUUACAAACAUGAUUUCAUGAAGAAUAAGACAUCAGCUCUGAAAUAGGAUUGAAGCAGCAGAAGUAUCCAGUUGCAGGAAUAAAAGACUUCAUCUAGCAAGAAUGGCAACACCGCACUCCUUAACGCACGGUGGAGGCAGGCAGGAAAGCACUCUCUCACUUCACUUCCAAAACUAACAAAGAAAAGUGCCCACAAGCUCCAGGGGAGAGAAAAAAGGAUGAAAAACAGGCAGAUUCAGAUAAUUAAAAUGUUAGUUUUUCUUAAAUGACGUCAAACCCUAUUCCCAGAGCUGGCUGUUCAUGUCUGCCUGUUCUCUCCAGUCACGGGUUGGAUAGAGGAGCUGGAGGCUGAAGCAGAACUUCCCAGUGCUGAGUACACGCAGUCUGCCUUUCAGCUUCAGAAACGGCAAAUGUUUGCCAUCUGAACUGCAUUAGCCCGCUACCUAAAGAAAAGGAAAAGCAAGCACAGAAAGACUGGUGGCCAUCAUAAAAAUGAAUGUCAAAUUACUUUCGGGAAUCAUGACAUAACUGCUCUGUUUGCAGUCAUCCUCACUUCUGGCUCCUAUCCUUCACAACCCCAGAAGCAAAGAGAAUUUACAGUAAUUGUGUGUUUAUUUGCGAAUCCCACCUCAUUUUAAUGCAUGCUGUUGCAUUGUUGCAUUGUUCCUCUCCUCCUCAGAUGUGUAGACAAUAACUAACUGCUAACAGGCCUUUAUUAUUGGUGGAUAUAGUCAUAAUUAAUACACGUUAAAAAUAUCUUCAGUAAUUUUAUAAGUAGUUUGAAGCCUUUAAAAUAAACUAAAUUUUCAAGACUUGAAAUACUAAUUCUUCAUUAUGUUGAGUGCAAUUGAUACAUACAGAAGUGGAGACAAAGUCUAUCCCUUAAUAGUCACCUUCUUCCACGUGGAAAAAUAGGGAUUUUCACAGGAGCAAUGAGUACCACCCAGGUACUGACACCCACCGUAAUUUAUAAAGCAAAGUAGGGCCUUUUAAAAGGCUAUGUGAAGACAACUAAUUUCUGAAGGUACACUGAUAGUAGUUCCAAGUAGUUCCAUGUCAGAACAUGGCACAUCUCACGUGGCUGUGGCUGCUGUUUGGCCACGCUGACCAUAUCGGUGCCUGGAAUUGGACCUUUACUAACCAAGGAAAGUAUUCGUCAUCAUAAGAGCCCUGAAUAAAUUGUGCUGCAAGUCAUUUUAGUACCCCAACCAACCUAAAUUAUUUUCUGAUGAAAACUGCCUCCAUCUCCAUGGAUAAGAAACAUCUGGUGGCUGAUGGAGUUGUGCUUUGGCGUCCUUGGAGCCAGACGUGCGAUGGGCAAUGGUAUCACUGAAGGUAGCAGAGGUAAGAGACCUGUCCCUGUCAGGAAAGCUGGUCUGGACUAAAUGACUGACACCCGCUGUCCUGGUCUAUGGCAGGUAUCUAUUUCUGGGACUUCUCACUUGCAAAGGAUGCUCUGCAGAGCUGAUUUCUGACAGCCCUGGGAAGGUGCAGGGCCUGGCCGGUGCCAGCCCUGGGGCUGCAGUGCCUCCUGACGGAGCAAGACAGCUCACGGCCUCUCCUCUGCUGACAAAUUGUGCAGCUGUGGUGUUACAUGUCAGCACUUGUGUUGUGGAUCUCUAGAGACAAACCAGGAAUGUUCUGCAUGCCGGGCAGUGGCUUGGAGCCAUUGCGUUGAGACAACCUUCUUGAGGGAGCCAUGGUGAACAAGAUGAGUGGGGAAUCCACCUGCAGCCAUGUAAAGAUAGGCAUCCUACUGCAACAAGGCCAGCUGUACAGCUUAAAGAGGAGACCUCAAAAAUGCACUAAGUCCUUGCAGCAUUUGAUGUGUGGAUACUAUGCUGACUUCAAACAGCAUUGGUUGAAAGGCAAGGUAGGUGGGACUCUAUGUUCCUGAAGCCUAAGGUACUCUUUCAUCAACAUUUGCGGUGAGCCUGAAGUUGUUUGAAGGUAUUUAUCGUCAUCUGGAAUGUUUCCAGUGGAAAACAUGAUCUUACUGACCUGGAAUCUCACUCAGCUCCUGCAACCUAUAUAUUCAGAGUAGGAGUCAACAGAGAAAUUCGCACUGAUACUCAAUGCAGAGAAGCAAAGAACUGCAGCUACCUGAAAUGAGCUGCUCACCUCUUGAGGUCAUCUAAAAUUAGCCUUUCAUCAAGAUAUUGAUGACAUCUUUCACUGCAUUACCACAGCUGUUAACCUGUUGCCAGGUCCUUCCACUUUAGAAAGGAUAAGAGGGCUUUUGAAGUCGUGUUCCUGCUGGGCUUCUGCAGAAUCUCUGUGGGAUUAUGGAAAUAUAUGUUAUAGGUGAUUAGCAUAGGGAUGGAAAAAUCAAAAAGCGGUCUUGAGAGACAAACAAUUAUGGUGGGAAAAAUGGCCAUCGUGAACUUCAAAUGACAAAGUAGUUUACAAAGAUUCCUGGGAUGGGUGAAUAAUAACACUUGAUUUUUUUCCUUUUUUGGUCUGCAUCAUGUGAGAGAGGAUAUAGAAAAGAAUCAGCAAGGACAGCUAUUGGGAUAAAGGGAAACAUGAAGACAGAGAACUCAGGGUCACAG
ensembl:lncRNA